UUUUGUAGCAGUUUGUUUUUGUUACAGUAGCAGGCCAGAAGAUAUUAGUCAUAGACCAUGAAGAUGGAUGGUUUCAUUGUAGAUGACAGAUAUGUAGCAUAUGUUACGAAGAAGAUGUUUACAUCACAGACCCUGAAAAAGACUCCAUUGAAGCACAGCAGGAUAAGCAACAUUGAGAUAAGUAUAUUUUAUUUAAAUUAAAACUAUAUUUCAUUUAAAUAUAAACUAAUCUAUGAUUUUUGUUUUUGUAGCAGUUUCUUUUUGUUACAGUAGCAGGCCAGAAGAUAUUAGUCAUAGACCAUGAAGAUGGAUUGUUUCAUUGUAGAUGACAGAUAUGUAGCAUAUGUUAUGAAGAAGAUGUUUACAUCACAGACCCUGAAAAAGACUCCAUUGAAGCACAGCAGGAUAAGCAACAUUGAGAUAAGUAUAUUUUAUUUACAUUAAAACUAUAUUUCAUUUAAGUAUAAACUAAUCUAUGAUUUUUGUUUUUGUAGCAGUUUCUUUUUGUUACAGUAGCAGGCCAGAAGAUAUUAGUCAUAGACCAUGAAGAUGGAUGGUUUCAUUGUAGAUGACAGAUAUGUAGCAUAUGUUACGAAGAAGAUGUUUACAUCACAGACCCUGAAAAAGACUCCAUUGAAGCACAGCAGGAUAAGCAACAUUGAGAUAAGUAUAUUUUAUUUACAUUAAAACUAUAUUUCAUUUAAGUAUAAACUAAUCUAUGAUUUUUUUUUUGUAGCUGUUUGUUUUUGUUACAGUAGCAGGCCAGAAGAUAUUAGUCAUAGACCAUGAAGAUGGAUGGUUUCAUUGUAGAUGACAGAUAUGUAGCAUAUGUUACGAAGAAGAUGUUUACAUCACAGACCCUGAAAAAGACUCCAUUGAAGCACAGCAGGAUAAGCAACAUUGAGAUAAGUAUAUUUUAUUUAAAUUAAAACUAUAUUUCAUUUAAGUAUAAACUUAUCUAUGAUUUUUGUUUUUGUAGCAGUUUCUUUUUGUUACAGUAGCAGGCCAGAAGAUAUUAGUCAUAGACCAUGAAGAUGGAUGGUUUCAUUGUAGAUGACAGAUAUGUAGCAUAUGUUACGAAGAAGAUGUUUACAUCACAGACCCUGAAAAAGACUCCAUUGAAGCACAGCAGGAUAAGCAACAUUGAGAUAAGUAUAUUUUAUUUACAUUAAAACUAUAUUUCAUUUAAGUAUAAACUAAUCUAUGAUUUUUGUUUUUGUAGCAGUUUCUUUUUGUUACAGUAGCAGGCCAGAAGAUAUUAGUCAUAGACCAUGAAGAUGGAUGGUUUCAUUGUAGAUGACAGAUAUGUAGCAUAUGUUACGAAGAAGAUGUUUACAUCACAGACCCUGAAAAAGACUCCAUUGAAGCACAGCAGGAUAAGCAACAUUGAGAUAAGUAUAUUUUAUUUAAAUUAAAACUAUAUUUCAUUUAAGUAUAAACUUAUCUAUGAUUUUUGUUUUGUAGCAGUUUCUUUUUGUUACAGUAGCAGGCCAGAAGAUAUUAGUCAUAGACCAUGAAGAUUGAUGGUUUCAUUGUAGAUGACAGAUAUGUAGCAUAUGUUACGAAGAAGAUGUUUACAUCACAGACCCUGAAAAAGACUCCAUUGAAGCACAGCAGGAUAAGCAACAUUGAGAUAAGUAUAUUUUAUUUACAUUAAAACUAUAUUUCAUUUAAGUAUAAACUAAUCUAUGAUUUUUGUUUUUGUAGCAGUUUCUUUUUGUUACAGUAGCAGGCCAGAAGAUAUUAGUCAUAGACCAUGAAGAUGGAUGGUUUCAUUGUAGAUGACAGAUAUGUAGCAUAUGUUACGAAGAAGAUGUUUACAUCACAGACCCUGAAAAAGACUCCAUUGAAGCACAGCAGGAUAAGCAACAUUGAGAUAAGUAUAUUUUAUUUACAUUAAAACUAUAUUUCAUUUAAGUAUAAACUAAUCUAUGAUUUUUGUUUUUGUAGCAGUUUCUUUUUGUUACAGUAGCAGGCCAGAAGAUAUUAGUCAUAGACCAUGAAGAUGGAUGGUUUCAUUGUAGAUGACAGAUAUGUAGCAUAUGUUACGAAGAAGAUGUUUACAUCACAGACCCUGAAAAAGACUCCAUUGAAGCACAGCAGGAUAAGCAACAUUGAGAUAAGUAUAUUUUAUUUACAUUAAAACUAUAUUUCAUUUAAGUAUAAACUAAUCUAUGAUUUUUGUUUUUGUAGCAGUUUCUUUUUGUUACAGUAGCAGGCCAGAAGAUAUUAGUCAUAGACCAUGAAGAUGGAUGGUUUCAUUGUAGAUGACAGAUAUGUAGCAUAUGUUACGAAGAAGAUGUUUACAUCACAGACCCUGAAAAAGACUCCAUUGAAGCACAGCAGGAUAAGCAACAUUGAGAUAAGUAUAUUUUAUUUACAUUAAAACUAUAUUUCAUUUAAGUAUAAACUAAUCUAUGAUUUUUUUUUUGUAGCUGUUUGUUUUUGUUACAGUAGCAGGCCAGAAGAUAUUAGUCAUAGACCAUGAAGAUGGAUGGUUUCAUUGUAGAUGACAGAUAUGUAGCAUAGUGAAGAUUGAAAAACCAAAUAAAGCAUCAAAGAUAGCAGCUCCAUGGAAGAUGUUUACUUAGAUCUUCAACCAAGUCUGAGGACUGCCGCGAAAGCAACCAAGCAGCAAGGAUAGCAGCUCCAAGGAAGAUUAUUAGAUUGAUCUUCACCCCCAGAAGUCUGAGGCUUGUCAUGAAAGAA